rnacentral:lncRNA from 1 species
GCAAAUAAAUAAAAAACUUGUACUGCCAUGUAGCGAUUUCGAUAGACGACGCCUUCAAGGGAGGAGGAGUCUACAACAUAUUGAAUUUAUCGAUCGAUUGUUAGGCCGAUUUCGAUCAGCAUUGUAUAGUUAAUGAAUGACAACUUGACGAGAUCUUGACACGCACGUUGGAAGUGUACGCGUGUUUGCACCUCGAUGAGCGUUGCACAAUAACAAAGCUCCGUUGGUGAGCGUAUUGAUUAAUAAAGCUAGGUGAAGUCCUUGAGUGCCUCAAGGACUUUGUUUUGUUUUAGCAGUAUUUUUUCCUUCAACAAUUAAUCUUGCAUCUCCAACCGUGGAAUGAGUUACAUGUGACUCGAGACAAACAAACAGUGCAAUUGCAACAAUAUAAUUAGUCAGCGGUAUGGUCACUAUCAGCAGCUUUACACACAGUGUUCAUCGUGAAUACAUCAAUCCCAGAGAAAACAUUCCAAUGGAAAAUAUUGAGAAUUUCUGCCCUUCUAUCCUGAACUAAACAAUGCUGGUUUGUAUAAAUAGGCAUAAAAAAACCUAUCAACAGUAUUUUUAGUUUGCAGUUUGCUUUAACAUACAACUCUAUGGCAUGUUGAUAUUGUCGCGGGUGAAAAGGGAGAUUGGUUAUCUCUUCACAGAGAUGAGUCAUCCGCUCCUUGGACAACGCUGCGAUCGUGGUGAAGAAAUUAUCGGGAGAAGUCCGCUCUAAGAAAGAUACG